GCGGGGAUCCCAAUUUUGUU
rnacentral:miRNA from 1 species